rnacentral:lncRNA from 1 species
GUGAGCAGAAUAGAAUAAAACAACCUUAGUUUCAGCUGAAACGAUAACUCUCUGUAGUCUUUUUUCCCCUUUCUCAUUCUUACAAGAUUUUCUCUCUCUAGAUUUUCUCAGAUCCCUGUCUCAAAUGUAUCUUCGCCAAAUGUCACUUAAAUUUGGACUAAAAUACAUUUUGCAUCCCAAUUUUAUAACAAAAUUGAGAUUUACAUCCUAAUAUUUAAAACAUGCGUAAUUACAUCCUAAUGUUUAAUUAAUGUAACAAAAGACCGGGAAUUCAAGUUUCUCUUUAUUUUAGAAAAAAAUAGAUAAGCCAAUAAAUCUACCAUGAGAAAUCAUUUAAACCUUCCGAAAUUUUGCCGGAGGCGCAAGACACCGAUAUAUUCAAUAUAAUAACAUUAAAACUAAUAUUAAAUAAAUAAAUAAGACAAAAAAGUAAUUAAUUAAACCUCACUAUUUUUUCUCUCUAUACUCACGUUCAUCUUCUUCAUCCAUCUUCAAACCCCAACCCAAACUCACGGUGCACAAAUUUUUCCUAUUCUCCAACUUUCCAUCAAAACCCAUGGCAUCAUAAUCCCUAAAUCUCGAAAUUACUUCCCAACUUUGUAAUAUUCCUGGAAGCAUUAUCAACUGCAAUUGAAUCUCAAUCUGAAGCUUCUCAAACGAAACAUAAAUGGAGAGACUCAAUUCAUAAUCAUCUUCUAUAGUAGGUUCUCAUUUUAAUGAUGGGGAAGAUUUAACAAGGGUUUAACAAGAAAAGCACAAUUCUCGCCUUAGCCCUAAUUGCAGAAUUUUUCAAAUCAAUUGGCGACUCCGUAGUAAUCAAAUCUUCGUCGUGAUAUAUUUUGUUGAAUUUAACCCGGGUUGGGUUAGGGGAACAUCCGAGCGAUUGCCUUCGCGGAUCCAAACG